CCACGGCCACGACCUUGAAUUUGGUGUUGAUCGAAAAUGAAGCCCCACACACAACCAGAAUUACGUGUUAGAUAAGGUCAUGUCAUCAUGUGUUAUGCCCACAAGUCCUCGUAAUAUUUUUUAAUAUGCUUAGGCCGUCGCAUGGAUGUGACGAGUUCAUACUAGGGUCGAGCCAUAUUUGUGUUGUGCCUAAUUGAUUGCCUGUUCAACUCAUGCUCAACUAUAAUUAACACCAUGUUAAAUGAGCUCCUCCUCUACUUGGGAAUGAAUGAAUUGCAUUUCACACAAAUUUAAGAAUCAAAUUCAACACAAAACAAAGCUACGAAUGCUUGCGAAAUUUAGUAAUUACGUAGUCAUUACGUAUGAUGAUCACUUUUUUAAUAAUUGGAUUUCCAUGUAUUACACUUUACACUCCUAACUUUAUACGAGUAUCAAAUAUUUAUUCUUGUACACUCCAUAUAUUGAUAUAUAUUAUAUAGUACAACAUUUAGUUAUUUAUUCUUUAUUAUGCAACAUUUUUUUUUGAAACAUUCAAUAUUUAUUAUCUAAUUAAAGUAUCAUGAUCGUUUAAAAAUGUAAAUUUCUGCACUAAAUCAAACCUUAAUUAAAAAAAAAAAAAUAAAAAAAGUAUAAAAAAAUUGAAUGCCCUCAAGCCUCAACACACUCUACCCACUCACUCAUUAUGCAUUGUUCAUUAAGCUUUACCGCCCUACUUGCAAAAACAUUAAGCAGGCCUUGAUUUUGUUUUCUCUCUUCGUUUCCAAAAAACUUCCUGCAAAUCAUCAAUGGCGGAUACCAGAUCAAAAGAGGCGUUAGGAUUUCAUUCGUCUAUUGCUUCAUCCUGCUUAGGGUUGAUGAGAAGUCCUCCGCCACUGUUCGCCGAUAGUAGCCCUAACAAUUUGAUUCUCAGAAAAGUUGCUGCAUUUGCUUAUGAGGGGAUAUUGAGUUUAAGCCGCAGUUUAUUGUCCAAAAUUUGGGACCAGAUCAAAUAAUAUACGUAGAAGGCUUCUAUUGAAGUUAUUUGGAAAUCGAAAGCAGGACAAACUGUGCUGCUUGUGAAGUUUUUGCUGAUGCUGGAAUCUCUGCAACGCGACUAUCUGGCAUAUAGGAGUUACUGCAUCCCCUCACUGUAGGGUGAAAAAGAAAAACACCUAGAUCUUUCGUACUGUUGCUAAAACACAAGUUUUCAAGUAUCAGAAGUCAAGUCUAUAAGUAAUCACCUUGAAAUGACUUCAAAUUUCUAAUGCAAAUAUUCUUUGAUGUCUUUGUUUUCUCUUUUAUGUUUACUAUUAUGAGACCUUUCAGUUGCAAAUAUGAUGUUGUUUGGCUUAAACCAGAUUUGUUGUAUGGACCUUUCAACCCAAUCAGAAUCAAUUGGACCCUUGGAAGUAAAAGUAUUGUCUGGGAGUAAAUAAUAGCUGUAAAGUAUCAAUAAAAACAUUAGGUAGACUUUCAAAAUCAUCCCUUAUGUGUUGUAUGCUAUGUGAAAUUUUGAGCUUUGAUGGUCUCUACAACAAUUUAAGGUAGUGACAUUACAAUAUCUGUAAUUACAUACAAAAUAUGCUGCUGGGCUUUGUUUUAUGUGUAGGUUGGAGGUAUUUGUUUUGGGCACUUUGGUAGACGUGGGCUGUUCUACAGUCUUUGAUGUGGCCUACUUAGCUCAAGCACCCUUGUUGGAUACUCACUUGGCACAAACAUUUAUAUGGAUACUCGAAACUCUAUUUUGGACAACUAAAGCCAAAAAAUGGCCAAGUCUGACACUUGGAGACGCAUGUCAAUCAGACACCAGAAUCUGGAUCUAACAUAGAAUUGGGGUGUGCCUGUAAGUCUGGGACUUAUCUCUGUAGGGGGGGGGGGGGUAGGAAGUUUGAAGAUAGUUGGUAUUACCAUAUUAGUGUGCUUUGCUUUGUAGUGAAGCUUCUGUGGUUGUUUGGAUCUAAUGAGGAGAGUGGUUGAUAGGUCUAAUGAUUUUCUGUCAACACCCUUAAUCAUAGCCAUAGCGGCCCAUAGGUGUACCAGUAUAGUUUUUCGUACAGAAUUAUUUGAUUUGUUUAAUUGUUUUAAAGACAAGGUUAAUAGCUCUUAAUGCUACUUCCCUGAGAAUUCUCUUGCUACAUUGUUCUUCCUAAAAAGACUAAAAAGUUGUAUUGAUGUACAAUUAGUCAUAUUUUUUCUUUCAGUAUUUUGCAUCUGAUUUUUUUUCCCUUCAAUGAUGCAAACUCAUUUUAUUCAUAACGGAUGUGAGCAUGUGCUGAAUACACCAUAAAGCCUGAACUUAAAAAUAUCCAGAUUCAGACUCUUAAGUAAAAGGUGAAGAAAACUCAUAGUUUUACAUGCCAUAUUAUUAGUUUUCUCAAGCAAAUGCAGGGCUAAGAACAAUUACCAUAACAUAGCCUAUGCUGGUAUCUUUUGGUUGUCCUGAAAUUGAUCCUCCUCUCAUUAUACCUUUACACCGUCAACCUUAUUUAACAAAGAUAUAGUGCAUCUCAAAGACAUGGUAUUUGCAAGAAUAAUGGAGUGGUUGGAUUAGGAUUGGAAAUUUUCUUUGCCUUUUUCUUUCUUGACCUUUGAAGACAUGGGAUAGAAGCCAUCCCAUCUAUAUCACAACUCAUAAGCUAACUGCCCUAGUUACAUGCCUGCACUUGUCCAAAGAAAAUGCAUAAUUAUUGAAGCAGCUCUUGAUUUAAUUUGCUAACAACAAGAUUAGAAUCCAAAAUUGUUAGUGUAGUGUGACUUUUCAAUUCUCAUCACCAACAAAUCCCAGAUCAGACCACUGCUGUCUUGAGUAGUUAAAGAGGAACUUUACUUGAGAAGAGAAUAUAAAGUCCCAAAAUCACUUCUGUUCACCAUGGUCAAAUCAAUGCUAAAUAUGUCAUUAUGGAUAACAUUAUUUUAAAAACAGGAGUUCUCCUAAUCUGCUUGAGGGAUUAUCUUCAUACUUGUUUAUUUUGAAUUACUCCAUAAUAUUCCAGGCUUUGCAGCAAGUCUUAAUGAUGUUUUUUAGAAUGUGUUUGGUUGCAUUGCAUUUGCUUUUGACCUGUAUACCUUAUGUGGAGAGAUCACUGUUGCUACCUUUAAAUUUCCCCCCUAUUACUCUUAUUACAAUUGUUGUGAUUUCUGUCUUGGAGUUGGAGAUUAUCUUCUGUCUCAAAGAGUGGACAAGCUGCAAUGCCAAAAUUAUCCUAAUUUCUAGAAGCUACCUGGAUAAUUUUGAAUUGCUUGGGGAUAAUUGCCUUUUGAGGUAAUUAAUUUUCUUCAGUCAUAGAAGUUGAAUUAUUGUGAUGUGCAGCGUGUGGAUUUGCCCCUAUAGAUCUUUAGAUCAUAAUGUUACUGCAUUUUUGGAGACAGGAUUAGAAAUCAUGAUGCCUUCUAUCUUUAUGUGGCUCCAUCAUUAAUUUCAAAUUUUACAUGCAUGUCGCGAAACCUAUUAGCUGUGCACUCUGGUAGGCGGUAGCCUUGCUGCUCUUUCAUCAAAGAUAAUGAUUUGAAAUUCAAUCAUGUGAUUGUAGUUCCAAGUUCUAAUCGGUGUUGGAAGUGGGAACACAUUUUUUAAGAGCGCGGAAUGAUAUUAAGAAAAUAUUGCUACUAUCUGUCGUGGAAGCUUAUGGGCCAAUUCUGGGAAGAUUUCACUUCCUUUUGAAAUGAUACUAUGAUAGGUUUAUUUAUUUAUUUUUUAUUUUUUUUAUAUGACCUAGACUCUGAGCAUUUCCUGUAUUUCCCCUACUAUUUUUUUUUUCUAUUUUUGACAGCUACUACCUAGACACUUAAUAUACUGCACUUACAUUUACUCACUCUUGUGCUAUGGCUUCUGAAGACAUGAGACACCUCAGCUCUGCUAUUUGGUACCUUCUCACAUUAAUCAAGCAUCUGUACCGUACAACCAGCUUUCUUGCACCUUUGGGAGCAACCCUCUAGUCCUCUCUCCUUAUGUUCCACUAGAGAGUGCGCGCUAGCAAAUGGGUUGUGUUGUGUUGAAUUCAUUUUCAUGUAACACUAGCCUGACCCAUUUUAUCAAACUAGUUAAAACCCUUGAUACUAAGACCUUUAGCUGUUUAAGAUUGGAUUUCAAGGAACUUUUAACAAUAUAUUAGUUUCUUUUGCUUGGUUUUGU